UACACAUAGACAUAUAGACAUACAGACAUACACAUAGACAUAUAGACAUACAGACAUACACAUAGACAUAUAGAGACAGCCAAACCCAGGAAGGCCGUGUGCCGAUGAAGCAGCAGAGGACACUGAUUCCUGCCGCAGGGCUGUUCUUCCCUCCCUUCUUUUCCCCUUCAUUUCUCCUCUGCACGGCAGACUACAGCAAACAGUCGGGCGCUCUGAGAGGCCGACACCUUUUGACCCCCGACGUCCCCCCCGCGGACAAUCAGCUCCCGACACAACCGCCUGGUGACCGAGUCAAGGUCAACAGGUGCUGGCGAUCAACAGAUGAGGAUCCUCCUUUUCUUCCCACUGACUCAUGCGUGAAACGCCGAACCUUCUUCUCUCAGAAAUACAUCCAUAUCAAAAGUGUUUUUAUUCGCGUGAAACUAGUAGGAGCGCAGUCUAUUCUGAAGCAUAAAUGACAUGUAAAAGGUUCAAAAACAGCUUUAUUAGCAUCAAGGCAUGUUGUUCAGUCUCCCCUUCCCCCAACAUGUGGGCAUCUUUUCUGUAUCCUUUCUGCUGUGAAGUUAUAAUUUGUACAUUAUCCCAAAAAAAGCUUGUGUCAGUGAAUUAAAUUGAUUUUCAUCGCCAAGGAUUUUCUGUUGUAGCAAUAAUUAAAUGGUCAAGGUGAGUUCAACACAAAUGCGUAAGUCGUUUUCAAAAAGCCUCUGUUCAUGUGAAGGACACAAUCUGUGCUUACAAUCAAAACCAGGGGAAUAAAAACAAUUUUACAAGA